UGGAGCAAGUGGGCCUUGAUCCCACAAAAAUUAGUUAACAGCUAACUACCCUAACCAGCGGGCUUCUACUCG
rnacentral:tRNA from 1 species